rnacentral:rRNA from 1 species
GACGAAGGAUCCAAGCGUUAUCCGGAUUUAUUGGGUUUAGAGGGUGCGUAGGCGGACUUGUAAGUCAGUGGUGAAGGCCCGAUGCUUAACAUCGGAACUGCCAUUGAUACUGCAAGUCUUGAAUAUGUUUGAAGUGGGCGGAAUGUGUCGUGUAGCGGUGAAAUGCUUAGAUAUGACACAGAACACCGAUUGCGAAGGCAGCUCACUAAACCAUUAUUGACGCUGAGGCACGAAAGCGUGGGGAGCAAACAGG